GACACACAUCCGACCUGCUGCUGUGAGGCAGGAAACCCCAGAACUGCUCAGGACUGAAGCAGAUUAUGACCAACUCUGGAUAUCCACUGACUCUGCAUUUUCUGAGACAAUAGAGCAGCCCCACCCUCUAGCUGGUGACCUGAAAUUCCAGCUUACAGAACACUUCUUGCCUCCCUGUGAAACAGCCAGACCAUUGGGAUGCUGAUCCUGAGAGGGUUCACCUUCUCCUGCCUCUGGGUUUUUGGGCUUGGGCAGUUGGAGCAACCUGAAAUAUCGGUCACCAGAGCGACAGAUGAGAGUGCCCACAUAUCCUGUAUAGCUUCUAUUCCAGAAUUCAACAACAUACAUAUACAUUGGUACCGGCAGAAAACAAAUCAACAGAUUGAGUAUCUAAUGUAUGUCAAGACAAGCUACAAUCAACGCCCCCUAGAAGGGAAGAACAAGAAAAUUGAAGCAAGUAAAGAUUUUCAAACUUCUACUUCAACCUUGAGAUUAAAUUACUUGAAGAAAGAAGAUGAAGCCACCUAUUACUGUGCGGUCUGGAUAUCAGGCAAAUCAUGGGUCAAGAUAUUUGCCAACGGGACAAAGCUCAUAGUAAUUCCCUCAGACAAACGCAUUGACUCAGACAUUUCUCCCAAGCCUACUAUUUUUCUUCCUUCUGUUGCUGAAACAAAUCUCCAUAACGGUGGGACAUACCUUUGUCUCCUUGAGAAUUUCUUUCCUGAUGUUAUAAGGGUAUAUUGGAAAGAAAAGGAUGAUGAUAAGAUUCUGGAAUCUCAAGAGGGAACCACCAUGAAAACUAAUGACAGAUACAUGAAAUUAAGUUGGCUGACGGUGACUGAAGAUUCAAUGACUAAAGAACAUACUUGUAUUGUCAAACACGAAAAAAACAAAAGAGGAGUUGACCAAGAGAUUUUCUUUCCUCCGAUAAAUAAAGCUGUCAGCAUCAAUACUCCCACAGAAGCUGCUUUGAAGACUGAGAAUGUUUUCACAACUACUCAUGUUAAUCCCAGAGAAACUGUGUUGAGACCUGAAAAUGUGAACAAUGCUACUGAUCUGGAAGCUUGCUUGAAAGAAAGAAAGGAUUUGCUGCAGCUUCAGGUCACCACCACCUCUGCAUUCUACACCUACCUCAUCCUGUUCUUUAAGAGCACAGUCUACUUGGCCUUUGUUGUAUUCUGUCUGUUUAGAAGAACAUCCAUGCCUUGUGAUGGUCAACGUUCAUAACAGAUGAUGAAACAGAAUGGUCAUGCCAUCUUCAUCGUUACUGCAUCCCAAUAUCUGCUGAGGGUCCAUCUGGGCUUGCUUGCUGGCUUUGACCUCCACAAGGACACAUUUGUGUGGUUUUUGUAUCAUUAUUAUAGUUCUCACAGCAGAGACGAAACUGAUCAACUUCACUCUCCAACAAAUAGCUUCCAAGCAUCCAGCCAUCCUAACCCAUCCUCUCUCAGUCCCUCUAGCAUCCCCUAGCAUCACAGGCCAGAUGUACACAAACUGCAGCUCCUAGUCAUCCCACUUCAUGCCCUAGAACCAGAUAAUGCUUCCAAAACCUCUACUUCAUAUGCCCUAGAUAACUUUAUUUGAACUUAAAUUGUGUGCUUUGUUUUAUGAAAUAUAAUUUAAAAAAAAUCCAGCCUACUUUUGGUAUGAUGUGUUUUUACUUGUGGCAGUGAUUGAAGGUUCAAAGUACAAAGAAACAUGACAACUGAACUCAGAAAUGUUAUGUCUGUUGGUAACAAGGUCCAAAACUAUAAUCCUAAAUCUUAGAUGAUGGUUGGAAAAAUAUUCUGGAGCAGUAGAUCCUAAGAGGAAGGCCACGUGCAGAAGCCAAUGGGACUGCUCUCUCAGGGGAAACUAGGUCAUUUAGUUUAAAUCAUUUCCAUGGAAACAGGAUGUGUGCUGUGUGAUCAACUCUGUGCCUGUUUCACAGCAUCAUGCCUCCCAAUCCUCACAUUGUUCAUAGGAGAGCUGCCCAAACCCCAGGAGGAAAGCCAGUGGAGGAGAUGAACACACAGACUGUAGACCUGAGAACCUAGGUUUCAACCCUGGAUCCAGAAUUUAGAAUCUGUGUGAGAUCAAAUACUGUGAAAGAAAAUUAGAGUGAUGUGUCCUCUGGAGCUGUGUACAUUAUAUGGGUUAAUAAAGUUCUGUGCUGGCCAGGGCUUGAGGGCCUCUGGUUAAGUUACAGAGUCUACCUUAGAAAUACUGUAUACCACAAAGGCACAGACUUAGCUUCUAAUGCACCAGGCAAAUUAAAAUUCUCUAAGAGUGUACUGAUAUGAAUACAAUUCUAUCCUAUAGAACAUUUAAAUUCACUGAUUUUCAAUUAAUAGUCAUAGUUUGAAAUGAGGUUUGUCUGAAUUCAGUGCAUUUGUUUUAUAGGCAUAGAUCACUUAUGCAAUUAUUAUGUGCCUUCCUCUAAGUCACUCUCAAUUGAGAAAAAUAAAACAAAUGGAUUGAAUCAUCUCAA